GUGGGGAAUAUUGGGCAAUGGGCGCAAGCCUGACCCAGCAACGCCGCGUGAAGGAAGAAGGCUUUCGGGUUGUAAACUUCUUUUACCAGGGACGAAACAAAUGACGGUACCUGGUGAAUAAGCCACGGCUAACUACGUGCCAGCAGCCGCGGUAAUACGUAGGUGGCGAGCGUUAUCCGGAUUUAUUGGGUGUAAAGGGCGUGUAGGCGGGACAGCAAGUCAGAUGUGAAAACCAGAGGCUCAACCUCUGGCCUGCAUUUGAAACUGUUGUUCUUGAGUGUCGGAGAGGUAAUCGGAAUUCCGUGUGUAGCGGUGAAAUGCGUAGAUAUACGGAGGAACACCAGUGGCAAAGGCGGAUUACUGGACGAUAACUGACGCUGAGGCGCGAAAGCGUGGGGAGCAAACAGGAUUAGAUACCCCAGUAGUCC
rnacentral:rRNA from 1 species